rnacentral:ncRNA from 1 species
CACCGUCUUUAGGGGUGGCAUAAGAAGUGAUGAUUAAGAUUUACGAUUUGAGGAUUAUAAAAUCUCAAGUCCAAAAUCUCAAAUCUCAAAUCAAACUGUCUGAGAUCAAACCCUUGGAACCUGCACAGGAUAAUGCCUGCGAAGGGAAAAGUAAGAAGUUUUCG